rnacentral:rRNA from 1 species
UACGUAGGUGGCAAGCGUUGUCCGGAAUUAUUGGGCGUAAAGCGCGCGUAGGCGGUCCUUUAGGUCUGAUGUGAAAGCCCACGGCUCAACCGUGGAGGGUCAUUGGAAACUGGGGGACUUGAGUGCAGAAGAGGAAAGCGGAAUUCCACGUGUAGCGGUGAAAUGCGUAGAGAUGUGGAGGAACACCAGUGGCGAAGGCGGCUUUCUGGUCUGUAACUGACGCUGAGGCGCGAAAGCGUGGGGAGCAAACAGG